rnacentral:rRNA from 1 species
GAGUGAUCGAAAGAUGAAAAGCACUUUGAAAAGAGAGUCAAACAGUACGUGAAAUUGUUGAAAGGGAAGCGUAUGAGGGCAGACUUGGCCGCGGGGGUUCCGCCCGUCUUCUGGCGGGUGUACUUCCCCGCGGACAGGCCAGCAUCGGUUCUGGCGGCCGGACAAAGACGACGGGAACGUGGCUCGCCUCGGCGAGUGUUAUAGCCCGACGUGCAAUGCGGCCAGCCGGGACCGAGGACCGCGCCUUGUGCAAGGAUGCUGGCGUAAUGGCCUUAUACGGCCC